rnacentral:rRNA from 1 species
GAUGAACGCUGGCGGCGUGCCUAAUACAUGCAAGUCGAGCGAACGGACGAGGAGCUUGCUGUUCGGAUGUUAGCGGCGGAGGGGUGAGUAACACGUGGAUAACCUACCUAUAAGACGGGGAUAACUUCGGGAAUCCGGAGCUAAUACGGUAGAAGAUUUUGAAGCGCGGGGUUCAAAGGUGAAAUACGGUGGUGGUGUCACGUAUAGCUGGAUCCGCGCUGCAUUGGCUAGUUGGUAAGGUAACGGCCUACCAAGGCAACGAUGCAUAGCCGAACUGAGAGGGUGAUCGGCCACACUGGAACUGAGCCAGCGUCCAGACGACUACGGGAGGCCGCAGUAGCGAAUCUGACGCAAUGGGCGAAAGCAUGACGCAGUAACGCCGCGUGAGUGAUGACGGUCUUCGGAUCGUAAAACUCUGUUAUUAGGGAAGAACAUCUGUGUCAGUAACUGUGCCCAUCUUGACGGUACCUAAUCAGAAAGCACCGGCUAACUACGUG